UAAGAAUCGGCGGCAGCGACAGCGAAAAGGGCGGCGAGGAUCAAGAACUAAUAAAAUAUGGAACAUUUGACGCCAUGUAAAAGGCUUAUGUAAGAAUCUCAGAAAUGAACUUCGGAACGUGGGGCCAACUAUUAACCGCUUCGUCUUCGUCACCGAAGAUAUAGGUCUACAACUCUCCAUGACGUCCAUGCCCAUCUCCACAUCCAACUCUUUCAUGUCGUCCAUGUGUUGCUUUCAUUGCCCGUUUUACUCACUACCUGGUGCAAAACAAAAUAAUGGGUCCUCAGGUCACCUCAGCGCAUGCACUUUCAUAGGCACUUUCAUGCCGAAUCGAUGACCACGAAGCGCUUCACGCUCAAAGCCAGCACAUUUUUCUGAAUUGUGUAUCCAUAUUCUGAAUGCAGUAUUGGUCCAUUGUCGUCGUGUUUCCGUGAACUAAACAGAAGAAUUCCUUUUUAUUUUAAAACAGAACCGAGAAUCCAGGAAUAUUUUAGCGCUUCCAUAAUUAAAAUAUUUAUGGUAGUACUUUGAUCGAAUUUAAUAUUUGUAUUAAAUAAUAAGUUUAGAUACACACAUUUCAGCGGUUUCAAUUACUUGCAAUUUAAUACUGGGGCUGGACUGCGGGGGCUUUGUAGACCGGAGUGGCGGUGUAAGCCGGGGCCGGGGCAGAGUAUGUG